CCAUCCGUCUUGUUCUCGAUGU
rnacentral:siRNA from 1 species